rnacentral:tRNA from 1 species
GGAAGUUUGGCAGAGCGGCCUAUCGCACCGAGCUUACCCCUCGGCGGACGUUUGGGUUUCCAUCCCCCUCGCAACGUCCCGUGAGUUCGAAUCUCACAACUUCCACCA